rnacentral:rRNA from 1 species
GAUGAACGCUGGUGGCGUGCCUAAUACAUGCAAGUCGAGCGAACAGACGAGGAGCUUGCUCCUCUGACGUUAGCGGCGGACGGGUGAGUAACACGUGGAUAACCUACCUAUAAGACUGGGAUAACUUCGGGAAACCGGAGCUAAUACCGGAUAAUAUAUUGAACCGCAUGGUUCAAUAGUGAAAGACGGUUUUGCUGUCACUUAUAGAUGGAUCCGCGCCGCAUUAGCUAGUUGGUAAGGUAACGGCUUACCAAGGCAACGAUGCGUAGCCGACCUGAGAGGGUGAUCGGCCACACUGGAACUGAGACACGGUCCAGACUCCUACGGGAGGCAGCAGUAGGGAAUCUUCCGCAAUGGGCGAAAGCUUGACGGAGCAACGCCGCGUGAGUGAUGAAGGUCUUCGGAUCGUAAAACUCUGUUAUUAGGGAAGAACAAAUGUGUAAGUAACUAUGCACGUCUUGACGGUACCUAAUCAGAAAGCCACGGCUAACUACGUG